rnacentral:misc_RNA from 1 species
GAUGAAGAACGUAGUGAAAUGCGAUAAUUAAUGUGAAUUGCAGAAUUCAGUGAAUCAUCGAGUCUUUGAACGUACAUUGCGCCCCCUGGUAUUCCGGGGGGCAUGCCUGUCCGAGCGUCAUUGCUGCCCUCAAGCACGGCUUGUGUGUUGGGCUUCCGUCCCUGGCAACGGGGACGGGCCCAAAAGGCAGUGGCGGCACCAUGUCUGGUCCUCGAGCGUAUGGGGCUUUGUCACCCGCUCCCGUAGGUCCAGCUGGCAGCUAGCCUCGCAACCAAUCUUUUUAACCAGGUUGACCUCGGAUCAGGUAGGGAUACCCGCUGAACUUAAGCAUAUCAUAAGGGAGGA